rnacentral:misc_RNA from 1 species
GAAAACUGAAAAAUGAAGGACAAAUGUUCCAAGAGUAAACAACAAGGCGUUAAUGUUAUUGCAUUUGUUUUCUUACGUCCUUUUCCUUCUGCAUAGAUCUCUUCGCCCUUUCCUCAAAAAUGCCUACCCAUAGCGAAAACUGAGCAGAACGGAAAACUACUAACCAAACAUGCCCUUCUCCUCUUACAUUGGCGGCAACAUUCGCCGGGGGGGUGGAGGUGGAGGAGCCGGCACCACCUGGGCUCAAUCACUCCUCCCCUCCUUCGCCGCCAAAUCAAAGCUUCCUUCAAGAAAGUCUCGCCGGCGGACGGCUCUGAUAAACUUCCUAUUCACUAACUUCUUCACUAUAGCUCUCUCGAUCUCUCUCAUCUUCCUUCUCAUCACCAUCCUCCACUUUGGCGUCCCUAAGCCUCUUUCCUCUCCCUUCAAACCCAAAUCCAAAUCCAGUUUUCGCGUUCUGAAGCCUCGCAAGACUAUCCCUCGAAAACCCCAAAACGACAAAGGUGCCGUUUUGGGGGCUGUGGUGGAUAUAACUACAAAGGGUUUGUAUGAUAAGAUCGAAUUCUUGGAUGUGGAUGGUGGGCCUUGGAAGCAAGGAUGGAGAGUGAGCUAUAAAGGGAAUGAGUGGGAUACUGAGAAGUUGAAGGUGUUUGUGAUGCCUCAUUCGCAUAAUGAUCCUGGGUGGAAAUUGACUGUUGAUGAGUAUUAUGAGAGGCAAUCUAGGCACAUACUCGAUACAAUUGUGGAAACACUUUCAAAGGAUGGUCGGCGGAGGUUCAUAUGGGAAGAAAUGUCUUAUCUGGAGAGAUGGUGGAGAGAUGCAGCAGAGGACAAAAGGGAAUCUUUUACCAAUUUACUGAAGAAUGGCCAGUUAGAAAUUGUUGGUGGUGGUUGGGUAAUGAAUGAUGAGGCCAAUUCACAUUAUUUUGCCAUAAUUGAACAGGUAUACACUGUAAUCUUUCCUUUUACUUAGAUGUUCUCGUUUGUUACUUUAAUGAACUCAUGCACUCGUAACUUAAUAAAUUGUAAGUAACCAUAAUGGACAUUAGAUUUGGAUCUUUGUUUUCAAUUGUUGUUUAAUUAUGUAGCCUUCUUUUGGUUCAUAUUAACAAGAGAACAGCAAAGAAGGUGAGGGAGUAAGAAAGAAACCCUUUCCUAUCCUGGAAAGGAAAAGAAAAAGUCAGUUUUGUUAUUUUCUUGAUUGCUAAUGAGUCAAAGGUUUGUGGUGGGACCGUGGGAGCUAACAUGUGAAUUAAAUUGCACAAUAAAUCUGGCAUGUACUUUUCAAGUGAUGUACACAAAAACCUGUGGAAGAUUCAAAGAGUGUAUUCAUAGAUACUGUCAGUAGGGUCUUUGGGGUGAUUAGUUUUCUUUGGUAGUCUUCGGCAUGUUGAAAAUAACUUGUGCAACCCACACACAGAGAAUAGAAUAAUAAAUAGAGAACGAGAGAUAAUAACAAUUUCAAGACAUAAGGAAUUUUACAUGUUUCAGCAAUGUGCCUAGAUCCGUGGAGAGCCACGUGCAAUUUUUCACUAUUAAGGAAAAGAUUACAAGUGCCUAUUUAUAGACGCUAGAGUUUUCCUAUAUUAGACAUAGAAGAAACUUUGCUCCUCACAAACCCCUACCCUCUGCCGCUUUUUUCACCCCUGAAGCUUAGGGUGCGGCAUCUUCUUUGAGUAUGAGCCACAAUCACAACAACCCAUUUUGCUCAUUGUACUUGGCUCCUUAUAUUGUUGUGUAUCUUUUGAUGUUAUCCACUGAUCAAAAUUACCUUGCAUAUUUUUUUGGUUAGUGAUUUGAUGCAUUUGAUUUUACUUGCGAUAAAUAUUUUUUGCAUUUCAUUCUUGAGCUGGUUAGCAAAUGAGGGAUUCAUUUAUUUUGGAUUUGUAAAAAC